rnacentral:rRNA from 1 species
UGGUGGAGUGAUUUGUCUGGUUAAUUCCGUUAACGAACGAGACCCCUGCCUGUUAAAUAGUCCCUUCUGUGAAUUUCACUGUUGAGGACUUCUUAGAGGGACGUGCAUUCUAUUAGAUGCAGGAAGAUAGGGGCAAUAACA